rnacentral:lncRNA from 1 species
UGUACAGGCUUGAAAAGGAAGAUAUUUUAACAAAGAACUCAAAGAUCUAGGACGGUAAGACAAGAUUUUUGCUCUGUCACCCAGGCUGGAGUGCAGUGGCACGAUCAUACCUCAGUGCACCCUCAAAGUCCUGGACUCAAGUGAUCCUCCCACCUCAGCCUCUCCAGUAACUAGGACUACAGGUACAUGCUACCUUGCCCAACUAAUUUUUCAUUUUUUUGUACACAUGGAGUCUUGCUAAAUUGUCCAGGCUGGUCUUGAAUUCCUGGUUUCAAGUGAUCUUCUGCCUCAGGCUCCCAAAGUGCUGGGAUUACAGACAUGAGCCACUGUGCCC